GGGGGUAUAGCUCAGUGGUAGAGGGCAUGCUUAGCAUGCAUGAGGUCCUGGGUUCAAUCCCUAGUACUACCA
rnacentral:tRNA from 1 species